rnacentral:rRNA from 1 species
CCUACGGGGGGCUGCAGUUUCGAAUCAUUCACAAUGGGCGAAAGCCUGAUGGUGCGACGCCGCGUGAGGGAUGAAGGUCUUCGGAUUGUAAACCUCUGUCACCGGGGAAGAAACGCUUCAGGUUAAUAGUCUGAAGCCUGACUUAACCCGGAGAGGAAGCAGUGGCUAACUCUGUGCCAGCAGCCGCGGUAAUACAGAGACUGCGAGCGUUAUUCGGAUUCACUGGGCGUAAAGGGUGCGCAGGCGGCCGAGUGUGUGAGGCGUGAAAGCCCGGG